rnacentral:tRNA from 1 species
CAGGGAGUAGUUUAAAGUAGAAUG